GACGAACGCUGGCGGCGUGCCUAAUACAUGCAAGUCGAGCGAAUCAUUAGGAGCUUGCUCCUGAUGGUUAGCGGCGGACGGGUGAGUAACACGUGGGCAACCUGCCUAUAAGACUGGGAUAACUUCGGGAAACCGGAGCUAAUACCGGAUAAUCCUCUUCCACACAUGUGGGAAAGCUGAAAGACGGUUUCGGCUGUCACUUAUAGAUGGGCCCGCGGCGCAUUAGCUAGUUGGUGAGGUAAUGGCUCACCAAGGCGACGAGGCGUAGCCGACCGGGGAGGGUGAUCGGCCAACCGGGGACUGAGACACGGCCCAGACUCCUACGGGAGGCAGCAGUAGGGAAUCUUCCGCAAUGGACGAAAGUCUGACGGAGCAACGCCGCGUGAACGAUGAAGGCCUUCGGGUCGUAAAGUUCUGUUGUUAGAGAAGAACAAGUAUCGGAGUAACUGCCGGUACCUUGACGGUACCUAACCAGAAAGCCACGGCUAACUACGUGCCAGCAGCCGCCGUAA
rnacentral:rRNA from 1 species